rnacentral:rRNA from 1 species
AUUGAACGCUGGCGGCAUGCCUUACACAUGCAAGUCGAACGGUAACGGGCCUUCGGGUGCCGACGAGUGGCGAACGGGUGAGUAAUGCAUCGGAACGUACCUUUCAGUGGGGGAUAACGUAGCGAAAGUUACGCUAAUACCGCAUAUUCUGUGAGCAGGAAAGCAGGGGAUCGCAAGACCUUGCGCUGAUUGAGCGGCCGAUGUCAGAUUAGCUAGUUGGUGAGGUAAAGGCUCACCAAGGCGACGAUCUGUAGCGGGUCUGAGAGGAUGAUCCGCCACACUGGAACUGAGACACGGUCCAGACUCCUACGGGAGGCAGCAGUGGGGAAUUUUGGACAAUGGGGGCAACCCUGAUCCAGCCAUGCCACGUGAGUGAAGAAGGCCUUCGGGUUGUAAAGCUCUUUCGGCCGGGAAGAAAUCGCACGGGCUAAUACCCUGUGUGGAUGACGGUACCGGAAUAAGAAGCACCGGCUAACUACGUGCCAGCCGCCGCGGUAAGAC